UCAGAAUGAGAGAGUGGUUUGUGCAAGGCUGGCGUUAAGCACGAAGACCCGGAAUGGGCUACAUGAUUAGCUGUUUGUUAUCGCAUCAACGUGCUCUACUGCUGAUAAACCCCACCCACAGUCCGGAACAAGACUUCCCCGGCGGCUAAUUAAACCUGACGUCACUCUU